rnacentral:rRNA from 1 species
UUCGCAAUGCCCGAAAGGGUGACGAAGCGACGCCGCGUGUGGGAAGAAGGCCUUCGGGUUGUAAACCACUGUCAGGAGUUAGGAAGUGUAGGAGCGUUAAUAGCGUUCUUGCUUGACUAAGGUUCCAGAGGAAGCCACGGCUAACUCUGUGCCAGCAGCCGCGGUAAUACAGAGGCGGCAAGCGUUGUUCGGAAUUAUUGGGCGUAAAGAGCACGUAGGCGGCCUUGCAAGUCAGUUGUGAAAGCCUUCCGCUCAACGGAAGAAUGCCAGCUGAUACUACAGGGCUUGAGUACGGGAGGGGAGAGUGGAACUUCUGGUGGAGCGGUGAAAUGCGUAGAUAUCAGAAGGAACGCCGGCGGCGAAAGCGACUCUCUGGCCCGAAACUGACGCUGAGUGUGCGAAAGCUAGGGGAGCAAACGGGAUUAGAUACCCCGGUAGUCCUAGCCGUAAACGAUGGGCACUAAGUAGAGGGGUUUU